UUGGAGUCUGCUUCCUUUGGAGUGUUUGGUGAGCUGUGAUCCUCAGAAGGGGCUUCUGACAACCCCCAGGAACAAAAUGAAUGCCUGCUUGCCAGCUGAAGGGCAAACAUCCAAAAAGGAAAAAAGUGCUCCUUUUCAGCUCCUACAAGGGUAUUGCAAACAACAGAGGAAAUGUAAUCCCAUUGCUUGUUACAGCUUUCUGGAGGAAGCAAGAGCUGUGGAGGCUGUGGAAAUCUGAAUGGUUUUCCAUAACAUGUGCUUUGCAAGGAGAAAUGGGAGAGAUUUGGACACUAAGACUUCUGGUUUCUCAUCUAUCUAAAGCAUUUUCUACUGCAGAUUCUAAUGGGAACUAGACACAUGGCUCUACCCUAACAACCAGCCUGCUCUCUGUAGGAGUGGGAGAUCAGGUGAGAUCUCACCUGUGGCCAUUACCAAUUGCUUCAAGGAGAAUUCCAAUGUUAUAAAGCAAUGACUGCAGCCAAGAUGAUGAGGCUGUUGAUGUCAGCUGAGAAAACAAGGUCGGGGUAAUUGAAACAGGAAUGGUUCUGGGUUGUCCUGUGUGAGACUCCACAGAAAACAGCCUGUGGGGAAGAAGGGAGAGAAAAGGAGCUGCAGUGUGUACAGAAUCCUGUGGUUGGGGAUAUUUUCUAGCUCACAGAAAAGGGAACAAAGUAUUGCUGGGCUCAAAUGAUUCAAUCACUGGGACAAAGUCCCCUUUGUUUUCCUCUUCUUUAUCUUUGAGCCUCUCUGGAUGAAGGAUCCCCAUCACAGCAUGGGCUGUGUUGCUGUAUGAAAGUGGGAUGGGGAUCAUCCAGCACCAUGUGCUCCUGGUGACAGCUGGAUGGGGAAAGAAGAGGGUUGGGAAGCCAAGCAGCAGGGCUCUGGUGCCCUGGGUACUGCUUUGGCCAUUGCAAUGUCAGUUACCAGCCCCUGGGAUUUCCAAUUUUGCAGCUUUAGUCUUUUAUAGAGCAGCAUUUUGUUAGCAGCAGCAAUGCAGACAAUAAUCAUUCUGCAGCUGCUUCCAUCUUAUGUGAAGCUACAAUAGCUCUGACCUAAACUUAAAAGAAAUGUCACACUCCUCAGGACAGUGUGGGAAAAUUGAUCCUUGUGAUGACAACUGAACAAUCAUGGAGAUGCACUUUUGCUGGUUGGAAAUGUCAUUCUCUCUCUAUUUCAUGUACUCUUAGGGCAGUCCUGAACGUGCAGGCUGUUUCUUCCUUUUGCAGUGACCUCCCCAAAACCUCUUCCACCUCAUUGCUUUGCCUUAUUAAGAACUACAGAGCCCUUUGCUGCCCCAGGAUUGUCUUCUCACCUCCAGCUGUGCAAUGCCUCCAAUACCUCUCAGCUGUGUUAGGUGUUAAGCCUCCGGGCUCCCAUCUGCUCUUUGCUAAGCAGCCACCCUGCAACAUUGCAAAGGAUUGUGAUGCUCUUCAUUAUCUGUAUCAUCCCUGGUUUUGUCUUCCCACGGCUGUGCUUUCAGUCAUCCCACUGCCAAGAUGCAGCAGAGCUGCCAGCGCAGGAAUGCCAGGAGAGAAAACUUUGCUUUGCCUCUAAUCCAAGCAGAGGUGUGUGUCCCAGGGAGAGGAUGCUGAUACACACUACAAUGCCCUGCAGAGCAGCCCCAUUCACACUUUAGCAGAGAAGCAUUUUAAUUAAUUGUCAACAGUUUUUUAAUAUAUAGAUUUAGCAGCUCUGCCUGAGUAAAUGCUGUUUGAGAGAUUAAAUUCUGUUUGGAUUAAUGGCCUCUGACAGCUUUUCCUCCUUUGCAAACAAAGUGGGUUUGAAGUGUAAUAAAACAGAGCGUGGGAUGCAUUGAGCAUGGAGAGCUGUUCAAGCUGGCAGCCAAGUGAAACACCACCAGGCUCCAUCCAGAGAAGUCCACAGACAAACACACCUUCCAGGCACAAAGGCUUUUAUCUGAUGUGGCUUCAGGCUCUCCAAUUCCCUCAGCCUCCCAUACAGUUGCUUAUGGCAACAUACAUCAAUUGUGCUUAUGGAGUUUUUGAAAGGAGGGCUCUGCAGACUGUGGGGCUGACAUCUGCAGCAUCUGCACGAAGCUCAUACUGAACAGUAUUGUUUGUUCUCUAUAUGUCAUGGUCAAGGGGAGACUAAUCCACAGCAUGGUCACAUCAGCAAGGUGAGAUCUACUUCCCAUAAGUCAAAGAAGUGAUGCUGACUCCAGGAUAUAAAGCACUCCGGGCAGUAUGUGUUUGGAUCUUGUGCUUAUA